rnacentral:rRNA from 1 species
UAGGGAAUCUUCCACAAUGGGCGCAAGCCUGAUGGAGCAACACCGCGUGAGUGAAGAAGGGUUUCGGCUCGUAAAGCUCUGUUGUUAAAGAAGAACACGUAUGAGAGUAACUGUUCAUACGUUGACGGUAUUUAACCAGAAAGUCACGGCUAACUACUUGCCAA